UUACAUGGCGAAUGGGACUUUACCGUUUGCGAAGGAUCUCGAAAUGGACCAAUACAAUCCCAAGGGUCCUUAGAAAAGGGAGGCCAGAGGAUAAGAGUCAGAUGUACAAGGUGGAGGCGUGACCAUGGACCCUGAGGGAGAAAAGGCGAUGCGAGGUGGGGCAGGGAGCCAAGGACUGUGGGCAGCCCUGAGAAGCUGGAGAAGGCCAGGAUCCCAUUCUCCCCUGGAGGCUCCAGAGGGAACACAGCCCUGCGGACAUCUUGCCUCUGAACUCCCGCCUGCAGAACCGUAAGAUGCUAGAUAUGCGUCGCCUUAAGACCCUGGGGUUGCGGACCUGCGAUGUCCCCCUGAGAGGAACAGACUCAGUCAUGCACGGAGCAGGCUGCUGGAGCCUGGGAGUCCCAGUAGCCACCCUUAACCAACAGCACAUGGGACUGGUGAAUGCACAUCCAGCUCAUCACCCCCAGUGAGGUGGCAUUGCAUCGGGUUCUUUGCAGGCUCUGAGAGCCCUGGGGGAGUGAUCCCCAGGUCCACAGUGGCAACUUGCUCAUGGAUGCACCCAGCACCGUGUCCCUCUCUUCUCUGCCUCACUUUCCCACUCCCCUGGCUUCCUGAGAUCACUUCCCAAAUAAACUACCUACACCCAG